CGGCGCACGGGUGCGUAACGCGUAUGCAACCUACCUUUCACAGGGGGAUAGCCCGAAGAAAUUUGGAUUAAUACCCCAUAACAUUGUGAGAUGGCAUCAUUUAGCAAUUAAAACUACGGUGGUGAAAGAUGGGCAUGCGUCCUAUUAGCUAGUUGGAGUGGUAACGGCACCCCAAGGCUACGAUAGGUAGGGGUCCUGAGAGGGAGAUCCCCCACACUGGUACUGAGACAGGGACCAGACUCC
rnacentral:rRNA from 1 species